AUUGAACGCUGGCGGCAUGCCUUACACAUGCAAGUCGAACGGCAGCACGGGGGCAACCCUGGUGGCGAGUGGCGAACGGGUGAGUAAUACAUCGGAACGUGCCCUGAAGUGGGGGAUAACGUAGCGAAAGUUACGCUAAUACCGCAUAUUCUGUGAGCAGGAAAGCAGGGGAUCGCAAGACCUUGCGCUUUAGGAGCGGCCGAUGUCGGAUUAGCUAGUUGGUGGGGUAAAAGCUCACCAAGGCGACGAUCCGUAGCGGGUCUGAGAGGAUGAUCCGCCACACUGGGACUGAGACACGGCCCAGACUCCUACGGGAGGCAGUAGUGGGAAAUUUUGGACAAUGGGCGCAAGCCUGGUCCAGCCAUGCCGCGUGAGUGAAGAAGGCCUUCGGGUUGUAAAGCUCUUUCGGCCGGGAAGAAAUCGCACGGGAUAAUACCCUGUGUGGAUGACGGUACCGGAAUAAGAAGCACCGGCUAACUACGUGCCAGCCGCCGCGGUAA
rnacentral:rRNA from 1 species